rnacentral:rRNA from 1 species
GGCGUAAAGCGCCUGCAGCCGGUCAGGUAAGUCGGUUGUGAAAGCCCCGUGCUCAACGCGGGGAGCACAAGCGAUACUGCGUGACUUGAGGNCGGAAGAGGGGAGUGGAAUUCCCGGUGUAGCGGUAAAAUGCGCAGAUAUCGGGAGGAACACCAGUGGCGAAGGCGGCUCCCUGGACCGCACCUGACGCUCAGAGGCGAAAGCUAGGGGAGCGAACAGGAUUAGAGACCCUGGUAGUCCUAGCCCUAAACGCUGGAUGCUAGGUGUAGGGCUGAUGAGGCUCUGUGCCGGAGCGAACGCGAUAAGCAUCCCGCCUGGGAACUACGGCCGCAAGGCUAAAACUCAAACGAAUUGACGGGGACCCGCACAAGCAGCGGAGCGUGUGGUUUAAUUCGAUGCUACACGAAGAACCUUACCUGGGUUUGACAUGCUGGUGGUACCGAACCGAAAGGGGAGGGACCCUUCGGGGAGCCAACACAGGUGCUGCAUGGCUGUCGUCAGCUCGUGCCGUGAGGUGUCGGGUUAAGUCCCGUAACGAGCGCAACCCUUGCUCUUAGUUAUACGUGUCUAAGGGGACUGCCGGCGACAAGCCGGAGGAAGGUGGGGAUGACGUCAAGUCAGCAUGGCCUUGAUAUCCAGGGCUACACACACGCUACAAUGGCCGGUACAAAGGGCAGCCAAGCCGCGAGGUGGAGCGAAUCCCAGCAAAGCCGGUCCCAGUUCGGAUUGCAGGCUGCAACCCGCCUGCAUGAAGUUGGAGUUGCUAGUAACCGCGCGUCAGCCAUAGUGCGGUGAAUACGUACCCGGGUCUUGUACA